GACGAACGCUGGCGGCGUGCUUAACACAUGCAAGUCGAACGGAAAGGCCCCUUUGGGGGUCCUCGAGUGGAGAACGGGUGAGUAACACGUGAGUAACCUGCCCUUGACUUCGGGAUAACUUCAGGAAACUGGGGCUAAUACCGGAUAGGAAUCCUUGCUGCAUGGUGGGGGUUGGAAAGCUUCGGGGGUUUUGGAUGGACUCGCGGCUUAUCAGCUUGUUGGUGGGGUAGUGGCUUACCAAGGCUUUGACGGGUAGCCGGCCUGAGAGGGCGACCGGCCACAUUGGGACUGGGAUACGGCCCAGACUCCUGCGGGAGGCAGCAGGGGGGAAUAUUGCACAAGGGGCGGAGGCCGGAUGCAGCAACGCCGCGCGCGGGAUGACUGCCUUCGGGUUGGAAACCGCAUUCAGCAGGGGCGAGGCUUGUGGUGACGGUACCUGCAGAAGAAGCACCGGCUAACUACGUG
rnacentral:rRNA from 1 species